rnacentral:rRNA from 1 species
ACGGAGGGUGCUAGUGUUAUUCGGAAUCACUGGGCGUAAAGAGCACGUAGGCGGAUAGGUAAGUCAGAUGUGAAAUCCCGGGGCUCAACUUCGGAACUGCAUUUGAUACUGCCUGUCUUGAGUGUGGUAGAGGUGGAUGGAAUUCCCGGUGUAGAGGUGAAAUUCGUAGAUAUCGGGAGGAACACCAGAGGCGAAGGCGAUCCACUGGGCCACUACUGACGCUGAGGUGCGAAAGCGUGGGGAGCAAACA